UUUCGGGGGUACUCGAGCGGCGAACGGGUGAGUAACACGUGAGUAAUCUGCCCUGCGCUCUGGGAUAGCCACCGGAAACGGUGAUUAAUACCGGAUAGGACCACUUCACGCAUGUGAUGGUGGUGGAAAGUUUUUUCGGCGCAGGAUGUGCUCGCGGCCUAUCAGCUUGUUGGUGAGGUAACGGCUCACCAAGGCUUUGACGGGUAACCGGCCUGAGAGGGUGACCGGUCACACUGGGACUGAGACACGGCCCAGACUCCUACGGGAGGCAGCAGUGGGGAAUAUUGGACAAUGGGCGGAAGCCUGAUCCAGCAACGCCGCGUGAGGGAUGACGGCCUUCGGGUUGUAAACCUCUUUCAGUACCGACGAAGCGAAAGUGACGGUAGGUACAGAAGAAGGACCGGCCAACUACGUGCCAGCAGCCGCGGUAAUACGUAGGGUCCGAGCGUUGUCCGGAAUUAUUGGGCGUAAAGGGCUCGUAGGCGGUUUGUCGCGUCGGGAGUGAAAACACCGGGCUUAACUCGGUGCUUGCUUUCGAUACGGGCAGACUAGAGGUAUGCAGGGGAGAAUGGAAUUCCUGGUGUAGCGGUGAAAUGCGCAGAUAUCAGGAGGAACACCGGUGGCGAAGGCGGUUCUCUGGGCAUUACCUGACGCUGAGGAGCGAAAGUGUGGGGAGCGAACAGGAUUAGAUACCCUGGUAGUCCACACCGUAAACGUUGGGCGCUAGGUGUGGGGCCUAU
rnacentral:rRNA from 1 species